rnacentral:misc_RNA from 1 species
GCUCCGUUACAUCUCCUGUGGCCGCCUGCGCGCAAGAGCUCGACCGCGUCUCUGAAAAAAAACGAGGAAUCACCUUCGCUGGGAAUUUCACAGUAUUCUUUGCUUUGCACGCAUUCUUCGCCCGAUCGUCUUUGUAGCUCACUCUCCCAGCAACAGACACACACCCACACAAUCACACGCCCACGGGGUGCCGGCUUCGUCUUCGUUCAGCCAUCUUCUGCGCGCAACAACAGGAGGCUUUGCAUCAAGCGCAAAACAACAGCAACAGCAGCAGAGCAUUGAACGCAGGAGAACCACUGGAAGAGCACCGCUUCUUCUACCCCCAAACAGAUAAACUGAGUGAUCUGCUCCCGCACCCACUCUCUUCCUACUUUCGUGCUUUCCCUCCCACGCAACGCCGACUUGUUCAAAGUCUGCGCUUCCCUUCUUUCUCUUGUCUUUGCGCUUUUCGUUCGAUAUUUUACUUCCUCCUCCGUGCUGACCCCAUCGCACCUCUACCUUUUCUGCGUUGGUAUCGACCUCGCCCGUCGCGUAAAAUAUCCUCUUUUACACUGCUGUCGCUGCUUCUUGUUCCCCCCCUCGCCGAACUCUCUCACGGCCUCUACGUUUGUGUGUGUGUGUGUGCGUGCCUGUGUGUCUCGGCACGCGUGAGUGUCGUCUGCUUGCUGCUUUAUUGGCGUAUCUUUCUCCGUUCGCGGCUGCUUUAUCAUUCUCAUUGUUUUUUACUUUGCUCUCCGUUUCGCAUUUUCGUUUUUGCAGUGCGACGCAAGUACGUAGGUGCUGUGUUGGAGUGUUGGCGGGCCUUGGUACUCGCCUGCGCACUCGCGCUUGGCAGCGAUCUUUCUCUUCCCCACUGCCCAGUUGUGCGGCCGGUGUUUCGCCUGAGGUGGCGCAUUUCUUCGGCUCUUGCUCUACCUUUCAGGUAGCACAGCAAAAAAAACACACAAAUAUAUAUAUAUAUAUACAUGUAUAGCUAUAUACUCUUACGUAGUCGUUCCUGGAUCAGUAAAAAUGACUCUCACCUCUGACGGCUCACCGCAGCAUGCGGUGCCGCAUGACGCACAGGAGUUGCACGACCGCACGCACGUUUACCUUUCUUCAGUGGCCCCGACGUUGGACUCCAUUGAGAACCUCCUGGCAUCGUGGAACCGCUUCCGUGAAGUGUCCUCGGCCGCCGGCAAGGUCCCGGAGGGCAGCAGUCUUCGCAGCGUUCGCAUCGACCCCUUUACCGUUCUCAAGUCCCCUCCGCACAUCUCGGAGGCGGAGAUCGACCGCGCUGUCAAGCGGCUGACGGCGAAGGAGUUGAAGGCACUACACGACGAGUUUGAGCUCACUUGCGUCGACGACUUUGUGUACGUGAACUCUGAUGAGGGUGAUGAAGCGGAUGCUGCGACGAGCGCUCAGGCUGCGACCCGCACUGUUCAUUUCGCUGACGAAGCAGAAGGCGAUAGGGAGAAGGGCGAAGACCACGACAACGGUAGCGGGGGCACCUAUGGCGCCGGUGCGGUGCAGUGGGAACGCGCGGGGGAGAGGACGUCCUCCGCACUGGGCGCGGCAUCACCGCCGCCUGCCGCCAAAGCCACGGCUGCCUUGGCCGACAUGUCAGCCACCUCGCGAGCGACCGCUCUUUUUGAAGGGAACACGGUUACAGUCGAUGCCCUCCGAGCCACCGUCGGUGGUGGCGGUUGCGGGUCCGGUGCAUCCUCCUCCCACUUCUUGGCUUCGGACGCUGACCCGCUAAUGCCCUCCGAUGAUGCGCAAACGCCGCCGGUGAUCUCGCUGGAGGAGAUGUCACCUUCCUCGAUAGCCGCCGUUGCUGCUGCCCGUGGGGAGGCGACGAACGACGACGCCUCUGGACCCUCCUCCUCGCGACUAGCCGCUACCUUCUCAGCCGCUGCCAACAGCGCGUCCGACUUGCCGGCUGGAUGUACCGUGGAGCUGGAGUACAGAACCGACCACUGGAUCCCCAGCUCUACCCGGCGCGCGCUGCAGGGGGAGGCAGGGGCUAGCAUCACCGUAACCACCGCCGCGAUGCACACGGGCACGAUGCACGCUAUGAACAUGGAAUGCAGCGCGGCUCCAGCAGCUGAGAACGCCGCCGCCAGCACCACGGAGAGCGACGAAGAUGAGGACGAAAUCCGCUCUUUCACCACCUUUUCACGUAUGGCGCUCGCGAAUCAUGCGCGGCGGCUGGGGUCGCGGCAGGCGGAGGAGGGCGCAUCACCGCACCCCACAGCUCUGCAGCGAGCAUGGACGGUCCAUGAGAGCAAGACGACGGGCACUGAGGCAUACCGUGAUGCCGAUACCCCUCGAGUAACGAAUAGACCCGUCGCCUCGGCCACUACAGCGCCUUCCACUACUCCCCUAUCCUCGCAGCCUGGGGGUACGGCGAAGGCUGAUCUCGCCCGCGAGCGUAACGCCUUCGUCCGGAUGCGUGUCCGCGAUGUUCUCCUCGCCAACCGGGUGCGCGCCAUGGACACGUCUGUGCUUGGCGCUGCCUUCUUUGCGAAGAUGGAUACCGCCUGGAAUGCCGCCGCCGACCAGACCACGCCUGUCUUGCAGAGGCUCGACGAGCUUCUGUGUGAGUCGAGCGCGCUGCUGCACACGCUGGAGGUUAUGGAUCACCAGGCGUACCGUGAGCGGGUCAUGGACCCCACCCAGUACCUCUGCGUCCCGCGGUACAGCGUCUCCUGCGCAGUGGCAGACUGCCACACGCCCUUCUCUGCCACCGUCACGCGUGUCAUGUGCGGACGGUGCGGACAGUUCUUCUGCCCCAAGUGCUGCGCCGAGCGAGGGGUGGGACCCGAUGUGAAGUGCGAGGGCCAGCGCUACUCGCUUGGCUGGGAGCCGCUGUGCCGCGUAUGCUAUCAAAUGUGCCGCGAAAGCCAGCAGAGAGUAGUGGAGGAGCGCAAUCACGUGCUGAUGAUCACGAAUCAACCUUCCAACGGCGGACACGCAGGGGAGGCGGCAGACGAGGAGAGGAAUGCGUGUCACGCCGCUGCUGGAGAGCUUAGCUUGAAGCAGGCGGUUCUUUUUGGCGCUUACUGCGAUGAGCACCGCUGCCUCAGCGACGGGCUUCCUCCCUUCUACGUGAUCCAGCGCAGCGCCAACGAGACGGUAAGCUUCUGGGAUAUUCUCGGCUACCACUUCGCCAAGACGCAGGGCACCCUUCGGCGCGGCUGGCAAAACGCCGGAAACUUGGCGACGCAAGCAGUGAACAGCGCGGCGCAGAUGAUGUCGCGGCGCAAGAGUACGCUGCGUUAGCGAGCUCGAAGGCCUGUGCGGGGGGGGCGGGUGCAAAAAAGACCCUGCUGCUACAAGACUGCACGAUUAUGCACAUAGGGAAAGGAGAAGGCGAAGAAGGAAACCGGGUGGCAAUCAGGCAUGCGAGGGAGACACAGAAACACAUCUGUAUUUGCUGUGGUGUCUGUGUGAGUAUCUCACCAACGCGGAUGUUGCACCGCAUUCCUCUGCCUUCACUUUCACUGCCCCAUAUAUAUCGUCUCUCACGGCCUCUCUCUGUCUGAGUUGGCGUCGGAGGAGCCUCAUACCAGCACGGUGUAGGCAUACCGGCAUACAGCCAUGCACAUGUGUGUAUGUAGGCGAAGGAUGUGGCCCUGCUGAAAGGGAGGGAGGAGCCGAGCAAACAAAGUGUGGCUUGUGUGCUUUCCUCAAAGUUGGCUGCGGCCGCUCUUCUUGUGCGUGUCUGCGUGGCGCGCGCUCUCGCGUGCGCGUGUGCGGGUGUGUGCGUCUCUCCUCGGCUGAAUCGUGUCUUUUCUGUUUCUUUGUUGUGCUUGUGUGCGUUGGCUUGCCGCCCGCAAAGCGCUUUCCAUUCAUGUCGACGCCCUCUUCGUUUCUUCUUGUCCAUUGCUGUUCAUCUUGCCUUGCUUUCUGUGGCCGUGCGUGCUUCCAGGCACAUGUUCCGCGCCGGGCUCUCGCGAUUGACGAGCGGCGUCGCGUUGUUGAUGCUGUUGCUGGGCGUGUCGCGUGUACGUAUGUGCGCGCAUGCGCUGCUCCGCUUAGGUAUAUCUAGACUGCUUGUGCUUGCCUCUUCGAGUGGGGAAUUCGUGGUAAAGAAUUAGGGCAGUCAUAAGCACGCGCACGUGUAUGCCUGCCCUUCCUUCUCUUUUUCCAACAGGAGAGCGGAAUGGGAGGUGCGCGACGGGAUCAUCUGCGGCGGAUGAAGGGAGUGGGGCGGAGGAGGCCGCCUCUUAUUCGCCUUUGUACCCGCCCCUUCCUUCGCUGCGCACGUCUCGCCGUUUUGUGGAAGGAAAAGGAAGAGCAUCAAAGAAGCGAGCCUGCAGCGAGGGAGGGGAAGAACACGCGGCAUUGGGGCUGAGCAGGCGAGCAGGUGUUAUGGGUAUGGGGAGGGAGGGCUCACACAAGGAGCCUUUCUCUCUCUCACACACACAUGUGCUCACGCACCCGUUUCCGUCUGCCUCUCCUUCGUCCUCAUGUCGGCCUUGUUUCUUUUCGCUUGCUUGGAGAGUCCGCCGAGCACGAUGCGAUGCACUCUGAACGUAUGUGUGGACGCUGUUCUCCUGCAAAUGGGUAUGUGCGUCCAGUCCAUGUGUCUAUGCGUUAGCGUGCGCGCAUCGGAUUUGAAUCGUGACGUUGAU